UUGUUGUCUCUAUCUCUCUCGAUGUCUCUCUCUCAUCAUCGUCGAUGCUCUUGGCACCACCUUCGUCUCCAAUGUCCGACCAACCACUACGGUAAGCUUUCUUCUUUUCUCUCAUUCUCCCAUGCUUCUUCCCCCUAUGUGGGCGUGUGUCUCGGUCUACUCUGUUAUCGCAUCUCCAUGCAGCACCACCAUCGUCCACAUUCACUGAGUCACCUGCGAUUUACAGGGUUUUCCUACUUUGCUUAUCCGAGCCAUGAUCUUAGGAAUCCCUGUUAUUGCACCUGAUUUGCCCAUCUUCAGAAAAUAUGUUCUGUUUUGCAGUAGCUUGGGAAAAAAACUUUUGAAGCAUGCUAAGUUAACAGAAGACCAAGGAGUAUGAAAAAACAGAAGACCAAGCUUUGUAGUUUACUAUUGUGUAUUGGAGUUUGAUUAAAU